AUUGAACGCUGGCGGCAGGCCUAACACAUGCAAGUCGAGCGGAUGAAGGGAGCUUGCUCCUGGAUUCAGCGGCGGACGGGUGAGUAAUGCCUAGGAAUCUGCCUGGUAGUGGGGGAUAACGUCCGGAAACGGGCGCUAAUACCGCAUACGUCCUGAUGGAGAAAGUGGGGGAUCUUCGGACCUCACGCUAUCAGAUGAGCCUAGGUCGGAUUAGCUAGUUGGUGGGGUAAAGGCCUACCAAGGCGACGAUCCGUAACUGGUCUGGGAGGAUGAUCAGUCACACUGGAACUGAGACACGGUCCAGACUCCUACGGGAGGCAGCAGUGGGGAAUAUUGGACAAUGGGCGAAAGCCUGAUCCAGCCAUGCUGCGUGUGUGAAGAAGGUCUUCGGAUUGUAAAGCACUUUAAGUUGGGAGGAAGGGCAGUAAGUUAAUACCUUGCUGUUUUGACGUUACCAACAGAAUAAGCACCGGCUAACUUCGUG
rnacentral:rRNA from 1 species